rnacentral:rRNA from 1 species
GCUCAGCCAUAAACCCAGAUAUUUAACACACAAAAAUAUCCGCCAGAGAACUACGAGCAAAACGCUUAAAACUCUAAGGACUUGGCGGUACCUUAAACCCCCCUAGAGGAGCCUGUUCUAUAAUCGAUAAUCCACGAUCUACCUCACCAUCCCUUGCCAAUACCGCCUAUAUACCGCCGUCACCAGCCUACCCUAUGAAGGACAUAAAAGUAGGCAAAAUAGCACAACAGCUAACAAGUCAGGUCAAGGUGUAGCUUACUGGGAUGGAAGAAAUGGGCUACAUUUUCUAAACUAGAAAUUAUUUACGGAAAGAACUAUGAAACAAGUUCUAUAAGUAGGAUUUAGCAGUAAAUAGGGACUAGAAUACCCAAUUUAAGCCGGUCCUAAGGUACGC